rnacentral:rRNA from 1 species
GAUGAACGCUGGCGGCGUGCCUAAUACAUGCAAGUCGAGCGAACAGAUGAGGAGCUUGCUCCUCUGACGUUAGCGGCGGACGGGUGAGUAACACGUGGAUAACCUACCUAUAAGACUGGGAUAACUUCGGGAAACCGGAGCUAAUACCGGAUAAUAUAUUGAACCGCAUGGUUCAAUAGUGAAAGACGGUUUUGCUGUCACUUAUAGAUGGAUCCGCGCCGCAUUAGCUAGUUGGUAAGGUAACGGCUUACCAAGGCAACGAUGCGUAGCCGACCUGAGAGGGUGAUCAGCCACACUGGAACUGAGACACGGUCCAGACUCCUACGGGAGGCAGCAGUAGGGAAUCUUGCGCAAUGGGCGAAAGCCUGACGGAGCAACGCCGCGUGAGUGAUGAAGGUCUUCGGAUCGUAAAACUCUGUUAUUAGGGAAGAACAAAUGUGUAAGUAACUAUGCACGUCUUGACGGUACCUAAUCAGAAAGCCACGGCUAACUACGUG